UACGAGGGGGCUAGCGUUGCUCGGAAUCACUGGGCGUAAAGCGCACGUAGGCGGAUUGCUAAGUCAGGGGUGAAACCCUGGAGCUCAACUCCAGAACUGCCUUUGAUACUGGCGAUCUUGAGUCCGGGAGAGGUGAGUGGAACUGCGAGUGUAGAGGUGAAAUUCGUAGAUAUUCGCAAGAACACCAGUGGCGAAGGCGGCUCACUGGCCCGGUACUGACGCUGAGGUGCGAAAGCGUGGGGAGCAAACAGG
rnacentral:rRNA from 1 species